ANAAGUAAUGUGAAUUGCAGAAUUCAGUGAAUCAUCGAAUCUUUGAACGCACCUUGCGCUUCUUGGUAUUCCGAGGAGCAUGCCUGUUUGAGUGUCAUUAAUAUAUCAAUCUUCUCUUGUUUGAGUGGUUUGGAUGUGGGGGUUUGCUGGCCUCUGAAAAGGGAUUCAGCUCCUCUGAAAAGCAUUAGCAGAGUGACUCUGUUCAUUAGUGUGAUAACUAUCUAUGCUAUUGAAUGGGUGUGGUUCAGCUUCUAACUGUCCUUGGACAAAUUUAUCAUUUAUGUGACCUCAAAUCAGGUAGGACUACCCGCUGAACUUAAGCAUAUCAAUAAGCGGAGGAAAAGAAACUAACAAGGAUUCCCCUAGUAACUGCGAGUGAAGCGGGAAAAGCUCAAAUUUAAAAUCUGGCAGUUUCUUGUAGCUGUCCGAGUUGUAAUCUAGAGAAGUGUUAUCCGCGCUGGACCGUGUACAAGUCUCCUGGAAUGGAGCAUCAUAGAGGGUGAGAAUCCCGUCUUUGACAUGGACUACCAGGGCUUUGUGAUGCGCUCUCAAAGAGUCGAGUUGUUUGGGAAUGCAGCUCAAAAUGGGUGGUAAAUUCCAUCUAAAGCUAAAUAUUGGCGAGAGACCGAUAGCGAACAAGUACCGUGAGGGAAAGAUGAAAAGAACUUUGGAAAGAGAGUUAAACAGUACGUGAAAUUGCUGAAAGGGAAACGCUUGAAGUCAGUCGCGUUGUCCAGGGAUCAACCUUGCUUUUGCUUGGUGCACUUUCUGGUUCAAGUGGGUCAGCAUCAAUUUUGACCGUUGGAAAAAGGUCAGGGGAAUGUGGCAUCUUCGGAUGUGUUAUAGCCCUUGGUCACAUACAAUGGUUGGGAUUGAGGAACUCAGCACGCCGCAAGGCCGGGUUUUAAACCACGUACGUGCUUAGGAUGCUGGCAAUAUGGCUUUAAUCGACCNGUCUUGAAACACGGACCAAGGAGUCUAACAUGCCUGCGAGUGUUUGGGUGGAAAACCCAAGCGCGUAAUGAAAGUGAAAGGUUGAGAUCCCUGUCGUGGGGAGCAUCGACGCCCGGACCAGACCUUUUGUGACGGUUCCGCGGUAGAGCAUGUAUGUUGGGACCCGAAAGAUGGUGAACUAUGCCUGAAUAGGGUGAAUCCAGAGGAAACUCUGGUGGAGGCUCGUAGCGAUUCUGACGUGCAAAUCGAUCGUCAAAUUUGGGUAUAGGGGCGAAAGACUAAUCGAACCAUCUAGUAGCUG
rnacentral:rRNA from 1 species